rnacentral:rRNA from 1 species
UACGUAGGGUGCGAGCGUUGUCCGGAAUUAUUGGGCGUAAAGAGCUUGUAGGCGGUCUGUCGCGUCUGCUGUGAAAAUCCGGGGCUCAACCCCGGACUUGCAGUGGGUACGGGCAGACUAGAGUGUGGUAGGGGAGACUGGAAUUCCUGGUGUAGCGGUGAAAUGCGCAGAUAUCAGGAAGAACACCCGUGGCGAAGGCGGCUCUCUGGGACGGUACUGACGCUGAGACGCGAAAGCGUGGGGAGCAAACAGG